AAUCCCACUCGAGAACAGUAUUUCCUGUGUUUAUCAACUCCUUGUUGUCAUCAGCCACCCAAACUAAGUAGGAGCCAAUCCAUAGGUAAACUUAUCUUUUUCCACAGAACAGGGCAUUACUGAACAAAACUAUUGGAUUUAGUUAUUUUCAAUGUGGCAACAGAAAGAUGACUGAAAACUAGAAUAUCAUAAGGUGAAGUUUAUCUCUGCUCCCCCUAAAUCUGGACUGACCUAUGACUGCUUUGACCAAUAGAGUGUGGCAGAAAUAAUGCCACACCAGUUUGGGGCUUAGCAUUUGAAAGAAUUGUAGCUUCUGCUUUGGUCCUGUGGAGCCAUCAGCCAACAUAAAAGUAUGACUGUCCUGCUGGAGAGACCACAUGGAGAGGCCUGAGAUUACAUGGUGAAGAUGAAGGGGCCAGCUGAAUCCUGCCUUCUAGCUGUCACCUCCAAGAUGCCACA